AGAACGAACGUUAGCGGCGCGCCUAACACAUGCAAGUCGAACGAGAAAGGGCUUCGGCCCCGGUAAAGUGGCGCACGGGUGAGUAACACGUGACUAACCUACCCUGGAGUGGGGGAUAACUGAGGGAAACCUUAGCUAAUACCGCAUAACACCUACGGGUCAAAGGAGCAAUUCGCUUUGGGAGGGGGUCGCGGCCGAUUAGUUAGUUGGCGGGGUAAUGGCCCACCAAGACAGUGAUCGGUAUCC
rnacentral:rRNA from 1 species